UUUAAUUCAAACUGACCAUUUCUCAUUUCUUUUUAUUCUGAACUGAUCACUGUUUUUAACUCGUCCUGAUCAAUAUUUUUAAUGCAAACCUUUUUGUCCUUUCAUAUGACAGAAAUUAUUCAUCUCCCAUGACCUCUUAAAAUUCAAGACUCAGGCACAAACAUCCUCAUCUUAGCAGGACAAGCUAAUUCAUUCGCAUGCAGAGCAACAAUAACAAUACUCCAAACAUACCAAGGGACGUCACACUGAAAAAACAAUGCAACCAACGGGUUCUCUCCAGUGGCAAAAUUGACUAUUUUUGAACUUGCACGACAUCUAAACAAGAACUACAUGAUACACAAUUUUCCAUCAUGCACCUCCUAUCCUGAGCAUAAAUGAAAUGAGAGAAGGGUAUCCUGAACAUCUAAACAAGAACUUGCAAUUUUUUCCAUCAUAUGCACCCAGAGAUUCUGCCUUCUCCCCUGGCCCUGAAACAAGAGCACCAUCAGUUUAGUUUUAAACAAAUUGAAAGUUCGAACAUGAGGCAUGUAGUUUUUCAAAUGAUGAAAGUCACAGAACUGAGCUAUUUUUGUUUUACUUCAAAUAAUUCAACAUGAAAAAGACAAAUACAGAUAAAUAUUUUUUUGUGCGAAAUUCUGAAGCAGAUGUCAGUUCGACCUUUUUAAAUACUUUUUUGCACAAGGAGAUGAUGUUAUUGAACUGGCUAGGUACAUUCAGCUUUACCUAGUAUGUUAUUGCCCUGGAACUGCAAUUUGUAUCUUUUACUGCUCAUCUUUAACAUUAAGAAAGUACUAAUCAGUACUAGUAUUUGUGUAAGUCAUACUGAUCAGUACUGCUGCUUGUCGUACUGAUGAGCACUAAAUUUUUCAUCUAGUGGACUGCUCUUGGUUUUCAAGUUGGACUUGAGUACUUUUAAAUGGACUUUUUACAGAGCUCUGAUCAAAAUCUAGAUUCCAAGAAAAAAUGGCCUUCAUGGAUGGCAGUAUGUGAACUGAAGAGUAGGAGAGGAGGAGCACGAAGGUGUUUCUCACCAAUCAUGUUCCUGAUGGCGUGGUGGAUGGAGGCAUGAACUGAUGCUGGUCAUUUUGUUGAACCUCCACCAAAGAACCCCUAUUAAGUCGUAUAGAAGAGAAACCAGAGAUAAGGUUAGUGACAUGGAGCUGGUGCAGUACGGCGACCUCGCCGUAGAUGCAACACCCCAACACACGAGCACCUCACAUAUGUAAGGGAACGGUGCUGGACGUCGUGGUGGUUCUGGACCAGCUCGAGGGCAUGCCUGGCACCAUUGAGGCAGGCCGUGGGGGCUGGCUGGGGGAGGUCAUGGUGGUGGUGACACACGCCAGAGUGAGGAACGGUGACCCACACAAGAAUUUGUAGCAGCUGAGGUGGCAUACGUGCACGGGAGGAGGAAAGCAACCACGUGUGGGGGCGGCGAGCAGUUGUGAUGGUGCGCUUUCCCUCUUGGUUAUUUAUCAAUUACAUAGCUCCAAAAGAAAGGUAACUGAUACAACUACUAGCAAUGUGCUAAAAGAACAUUAGUAUCUAUUAGUUGGGAAUCAUGUGUAUUUGCCUCUCUGUAUUCGAAAUUGCUUCAAUUGAUGGCUCAUUGGAUAACAUGCAUGGUCCUUAUAAUUAUGAAGUUAGCAGCAGUUCUACAUUAGAAUUCCGAGAGAAAUUUCUACAAAAUUCAUUAACCAAAGUGACAGUAUGGUGCUCAUUCUCAAGCACAAUGACAAGUACUUGUUUGUGCUAUAUGAAGGAGAUGGAAACACAAAGGAAAUCAGACUCACCAUUGGGAAGUAGAUGAACUGAAAAGCAUAGAAAAUAUGAACUUGUGCAUCUUGUUUUAACUUCAUCCUACGAAAAAGGAACAAAUAUGGGACAUGAGUUUUUGUCAAGAUGAACUUACCAGGGUUUGGUGUUCGAAUUUUUAAAUGUUUGUGCUACCGGAAAUAGAGAAUAGCAGCAUGCCUCGACCAGAUCGGCGACUUCCUCACGGGCGGCCUCUCGUACACCGCGAGGGCAACACAUACACACACGAACUGACCAGAAUACACAACACGACCGGGUAGAUAAACAAAUUGAUAAGAAUACAUGUCUUCUCGAUUAUGAACUGAUAAGAAUACACAACAUGGACAACUAGCCAUGAACUUCUUGAACUCCCCUGUAGGUUUUUAAUGGUUUUUUGGUGUUCACGUUCUUUACGAAGUCCCUGACUUCUCGACUAUGAACUUACUACAUAGAAGGAUCCUCACAUACAUGUAUAACUUGACAGGAGCUGACAGAAAAUGUUGCAGCAAAAUGGCAUUUUUAUUGAACAUAAUAAUACAACCAUAUCUUGUAAUACAUCCAUCAUGAUGGAAUUAAAUGCACAGUGAAAUGGCAGCAUUACACAUACUCGAGAACUAACAGAUUAUUCUUCAGUUACUCUGAUCAACUUCAGUUUUCUUCAGAAAUUGGAUGAGAAAUAGCAUCGGCUAUGCUAUCAAUUUUUUGCAUCUCUAGCACACUUGUUGGGAGUAUUGUUCAUCACAUGAUGAACCUCUUUUUUUCUGUUUUUCUUGACUGUCAUAGAAUAAAAUAUUGAACUAUCUUGUAUAAGUAUAGUUUUCAUUUUUUUAAAUAAUUGUUCAAUGAACCUCCCCGCCACGUGAGUUUGAACUUAUGAAUUUAUUAGAAAUGAACUUGUGUGAGACUUUUUCUUUGCAUAGUGUACUACCAUUUUUUUGUUUAGUUUGUCAUACAUAGUGAACUGUCAUAUAAUUUUGGGCGAAGUUUUUUAUACCUUUUUAUGUUUGAAAAAUGAACUUUUUUCCUACGCUAUUGUUGUUUUUGCAAGGUCGUCUUACGUUCCAUAUGUACUUGAACUGAUUGAAGUUUGAAGAUUUGAACUUAUGUUUUCUUAAGUAUCGACUAUGCAAAAUAUAUAAAUCCAUUUUUCAUAAGUAUAGACAACGUCAAAGGGAAGAGAGGAAGGGCAGGAGUCAGGGGAGCAAAAGGAAGAUCUAUAGAAAAAUCAAAAGAGAAAUUUUGAUAAGAACAUUACAAGUUUGAAACCAUUCAAGAAUUAAGUUCCUAUGGCUAGUAGCUAUGCAGGAUUUAAGUGAACUCUCAGUAAAAGUAUUUUCGUAUUCCACAUGUAGUAAUACCUGGACUUGCUGUCACAUGUGUUCUUUAUAGUAAAUCGAGGCAAAUGAGAUGGUAAUCCUUCUCUUCAUUUUCUUUUUCUCUAUCCUGCAUCAGUUCAGAAAUCCAAUACAGGUUUCAGUUCAAAAGAGAAUUCCAUCCAUGCCUUGACUGACUAGCAGUAAUUAAAUAAUCAAAAUAAGUUUUUGCUAACCAGUUUAUGUCCUCUCAAUCAGUCCAAAUAAUCUAGCAUCUAGUAUCGAUUAAUCAGUUCGACAAAUGAGGUUGUUAACGAGCCCAUUAACGAUAAAAAUGAAAUCAGCUAAUAACUUACUGGCCGAAUCAAAUUUUAGUGCUUUCAAGCAGCAGCAAUAGUCGGACUGAUGGAGACAUCCAUGGGUGAUAUAUAGUUGAACUUGCAUGAUGUGCAAAUAAGAGCAUGACUUCUGUACUUACUACACGAGCAUGACUUCUGUACUUACUAGACAAUACUACGCCAACAAGUAUCAUGCUAUGUGAACUUUUGUGAUGGAUGACCUUUUAGUUUUUAUUAUCAGUACUUGUUGAAAAUAAAUAUCUAAACCACCAGACUUGGGUGUGGGAACCAAAAUUCAGAAGAGCGGCAUCUCAACAGGGAUUACACUAGCAUUGACAUUCUGACAAUAGUGAGGGCUCAAAUGCCAAGUAAUGUACAGUAACUGAAAAGGCAUCAUUUUUCUGACAUUCGGUUCUGAAACUAUGUGGACCUAAGUAACUAUUGGCAGUCAAGAAAUGUACAAGUUGCAUAUAUUUCUGCCUAGUAAAUUAUGCUACCAAGCUUACAAGUCAAAACAAUUUCUUGAACAUGCAGCACAAAUUGCAGGUUGCUCCCAUCUCUGUUCUCCAAAACAAUUAGAGGGGCGGAUGAAAAAGGAAAC
rnacentral:lncRNA from 1 species